AGAUAAAUGGAUAUAACUGUUCCCACUUCAUGAUGUUAUGAUGAGGAUUAUGUGAGACAUAGACAGCACUUAGCACAAUGCCUGGUUCAUGAAGCAGCCAGCUGCCAUUUCAUGAGGAUGCUCAAGCAGCUCUAUGGGGAGAGAGGUCCAUGUGGUGAGGAACUGAGGCCUUCUGCCAACAAGGAAGCAACUCAGGCACCAGUGAACAUCCCUCUUACACACCGAAUAAAUAGAAGAGAACAGAGACAGUAGCAACUAUCAAGGCUCUGAUGAAAUCAUGAUUACAUAUGUCUCAAGUUCGGUGACAGCACCGAGAGGACCACUCAGAAGUGACUGCCAGUCUCGCCUCCUUGCCUGCCCAGAAAUCCAGUCCUCCCGUGGCAGGCUCACGGGCAACUCCUGCCUGGCUUGUGCACUCCCCUGUUCACCUGGCAGCUGUCUGCUGAUCCCUGAUGCACCUACCAUUUGGGAAGGAAAGUAGAUGAAGUUAUAUUAUUAAAAUCUGUGCUUCAAAUAGGAGGGUGGGAAAGAAGCUCCAAG